rnacentral:rRNA from 1 species
AACGAACGCUGGCGGCAUGCCUAACACAUGCAAGUCGAACGAGACCUUCGGGUCUAGUGGCGCACGGGUGCGUAACGCGUGGGAACCUGCCCUUAGGUUCGGAAUAACUCCCCGAAAGGGGUGCUAAUACCGGAUAAUGUCUUCGGACCAAAGAUUUAUCGCCUUUGGAUGGGCCCGCGUUGGAUUAGCUAGUUGGUAGGGUAAACGCCUACCAAGGCGACGAUCCAUAGCUGGUCUGAGAGGAUGAUCAGCCACACUGGGACUGAGACACGGCCCAGACUCCUACGGGAGGCAGCAGUGGGGAAUAUUGGACAAUGGGCGAAAGCCUGAUCCAGCAAUGCCGCGUGAGUGAUGAAGGCCUUAGGGUUGUAAAGCUCUUUUACCCGGGAUGAUAAUGACAGUACCGGGAGAAUAAGCUCCGGCUAACUCCGUG